UGACUNGAGUGCAGAAGGGGAGAGUGGAAUUCCAUGUGUAGCGGUGAAAUGCGUAGAUAUAUGGAGGAACACCAGUGGCGAAAGCGGCUCUCUGGUCUGUCACUGACGCUGAGGCUNGAAAGCGUGGGUAGCGAACAGGAUUAGAUACCCUGGUAGUCCACGCCGUAAACGAUGAGUGCUAGGUGUUAGGCCCUUUCCGGGGCUUAGUGCCGGAGCUAACGCAAUAAGCACUCCGCCUGGGGAGUACGACCGCAAGGUUGAAACUCAAAGGAAUUGACGGGGGCCCGCACAAGCGGUAGAGCAUGUGGUUUAAUUCGAAGCAACGCGAAGAACCUUACCAGGUCUUGACAUCCCGAUGCUAUUCUUAGAGAUAGGAAGUUACUUCGGUACAUCGGAGACAGGUGGUGCAUGGUUGUCGUCAGCUCGUGUCGUGAGAUGUUGGGUUAAGUCCCGCAACGAGCGCAACCCUUAUUGUUAGUUGCCAUCAUUAAGUUGGGCACUCUAGCGAGACUGCCGGUAAUAAACCGGAGGAAGGUGGGGAUGACGUCAAAUCAUCAUGCCCCUUAUGACCUGGGCUACACACGUGCUACAAUGGUCGGUACAACGAGUUGCGAGCCGGUGACGGCAAGCUAAUCUCUGAAAGCCGAUCUCAGUUCGGAUUGGAGGCUGCAACUCGCCUCCAUGAAGUCGGAAUCGCUAGUAAUCGCGGAUCAGCACGCCGCGGUGAAUACGUUCCCGGGCCUUGUACACACCGCCCGUCACACCACGAGAGUUUGUAACACCCGAAGUCGGUGAGGUANCCU
rnacentral:rRNA from 1 species